rnacentral:lncRNA from 1 species
UUUUUAGAACAGGAAUGUCUAUAGCUGUUAUCAAUGGCUAUCCUGCCACUGCAUGUUGGGUGCAUGAAAGGGGAUGGAUAGCUUGAGUUUAAAAUGGCUGCUGACUCUGUAGAUUUACAGAUUAGCUGAUCAAGAAGAACUUCACACAGAGAAAGUCACUGAUUUACUAGAAUUAAUUUACAUGAUGAGAUUCUGGACUUUGAGCUGAUGUUCUCAUAGGAUAAUGCUCUUGGAGACCUCAGGAUGGGAUGAACGUAUUUUACAUUUGGGAGGGGCAUGAAUCUUUGGAAGCCAUAAGGGAUAAUGGGGCAGAUAGACUUGGAAGGUGGCCCCCAUGAUUCCUGUCACCCGGUAUACCCUUGCAUGGCCCCCUUCCCUUGAGUGUGGACAUGACCUGUGACUUACUUCUAAUAGAUAGAAUACAGCAAAGGUGAUAGACAUAUGUAAUUAUGCAUGUAGGAUUCAGUUGCAUAAAAUAGUAACCUGUCUUGCUGGAGACUCUCUCUUGCAGGUUGUGAUGAAGCAGGUAGCUAUUGGGGGAGGCCUCCAUGAUGAGGAACUGUGGGCAGCUUCUAGAAGCUGAGGGCAACCUCUGGCUGACAAAUAGCAAAGUACUGAAGCCCUCAGUUCUUUAACCACCAGGAAAUGGAUUCUACCAACAAAACAAAUGAGCCUGGAAGUGGAUCCUUCCCCAGUUCAGCUUCCAUUUGAAAACAAGCCCUGCCUGAUACCUUGAUCAUGGCCUCAGACAGACCUCAACUAAGCCAUAUCUAUACACCUGAGGCACUGAAACAGUGAGACAUAAGUUUGUGUUGGUGUACACUGCUAAAUGUGGGCUAAUAUUUUUAUGCAGCAAUAUAUAUCUAACACAGCAAGCAAGGAAACAAGAGAAAUAAAAUAUUAAUGCAAAAUAAAAGAGAAGAAAGAUCAUGAGGGCUUGUUAGAGAAGAGUCACCAUGGUAGACUCUGGGCCAGAUGUGUNCACCAAUGGAGCCUCAGUGCAGUGGACGUCAUCAACCAUGGCCCCCUACAUGCUGGCCUUUGAAGUGUCAGCCCACUGAUUCUAAGGAGGAAGCAGAAAGCAGGUCAGAGGGUGUGGCCCCUAAGCAGUAAGCGCUAGGACAGCUCCCAGUGCCAUCAGAAAAAGAGCAGUAACCCCAAGAGGAAGGUGCUGAGGAUGCUGGGAGAGGCUGGAGGAACCUGCCUGCUUUAGAGCAUGCUCAAAGCUUGUUCUGAUAAGUACCUCUGUAGCUGUUGAAAGCUGAAGCUUUCUGCCAACCCGCUUUGGCAGUGGAUAGGCUCCCUAGCGGGCACAGAUAUACUAUCUGAUGCCAGUUCUAAGGUUUUGCAGGGAGAGCUCAAAUCCCAGCUCAUGAUAGUUCGUUUUGAAAUGGACAGUAAUGAGCUUAGCUGUAAGUAUUCUGGUUUACAGGACAGUCUCAAGGAAUUUUCACAGUAAGUCAGAGAGUCAUACAUUUCUUUUGAGAUUCUCAUUCUUAAUUC